rnacentral:tRNA from 1 species
GCCUUCGUGGUAUAAUGGUCAGCACACUCGGCGCGUAUUCGAGAGGUCAGAAGUUCGAGUCCUUUCAAGGGCA